rnacentral:lncRNA from 1 species
GGGUUAGGUGCCAGACUAAAGAUCAAUGAUGAAUUCUACUUCUUGAUCUAUUGAUAGCCCUGGUAGUUCAUCAGGGAAUAUGUCUAGGAAGUUUCAAUAACAAAAAUAUCUUGGAUGUAAAUUUCUUCCUUGGGUUUGCCUAUCGCAUAAAAAGGAAUAGUUAAGUUAAUAGCAUACAAUUGAAUUUAAUGUACUAGCACCAUGUGCUAACAAUAUUUAAGAUUUUAUUAAUUAGUGAAAGAUUUUUCAUCAAGAAUGUUAAAUACAAGCCUC